AUUCUCUUGACCUGUUGUUACAAUGC
rnacentral:piRNA from 1 species